rnacentral:rRNA from 1 species
UACAGAGGGGGCAAGCGUUUGUUCGGAAUUACUGGGCGUAAAGGGCGCGUAGGCGGCCUGUUAAGUCGAACGUGAAAUCCCCCGGGCUCAACCCGGGAACUGCGUCCGAUACUGGCAGGCUUGAAUUCGGGAGAGGGAUGCGGAAUUCCAGGUGUAGCGGUGAAAUGCGUAGAUAUCUGGAGGAACACCGGUGGCGAAGGCGGCAUCCUGGACCGA